rnacentral:rRNA from 1 species
UACGGGGGGAGCAAGCGUUGUUCGGAUUUACUGGGCGUAAAGGGCGCGUAGGCGGUCGUGACAAGUCACUUGUGAAAUCUCCGGGCUUAACUCGGAACGGUCAAGUGAUACUGUCGGACUAGAGUACAGAAGGGGCAACUGGAAUUCUCGGUGUAGCGGUGAAAUGCGUAGAUAUCGGGAGGAACACCAGUGGCGAAGGCGGUUACCUGGAGCUUUGCUGACGCUGAUGCGCGAAAGCGUGGGGAGCGAUCCGG